rnacentral:rRNA from 1 species
UGGCUCAGGAUGAACGCUGGCGGCGUGCCUAAUACAUGCAAGUCGAACGAAACUUCUUUAUCACCGAGUGCCUGCACUCACCGAUAAAGAGUUGAGUGGCGAACGGGUGAGUAACACGUGGGCAACCUGCCCAAAAGAGGGGGAUAACACUUGGAAACAGGUGCUAAUACCGCAUAACCAUAGUUACCGCAUGGUAACUAUGUAAAGGUGGCUAUGCUACCGCUUUUGGAUGGGCCCGCGGCGCAUUAGCUAGUUGGUGGGGUAAAGGCUUACCAAGGCAAUGAUGCGUAGCCGAACUGAGAGGUUGAUCGGCCACAUUGGGACUGAGACACGGCCCAAACUCCUACGGGAGGCAGCAGUAGGGAAUCUUCCACAAUGGGCGAAAGCCUGAUGGAGCAACGCCGCGUGGGUGAAGAAGGUCUUCGGAUCGUAAAACCCUGUUGUAGAGAAGAAGUGCGUGAGAGUAACUGUUCACGUUUCGACGGUAUCUAACCAGAAAGCCACGGCUAACUACGUGCCAGCAGCCGCGGUAAUACGUAGGUGGCAAGCGUUAUCCGGAUUUAUUGGGCGUAAAGGGAACGCAGGCGGUCUUUUAAGUCUGAUGUGAAAGCCUUCGGCUUAACCGGAGUAGUGCAUUGGAAACUGGGAGACUUGAGUGCAGAAGAGGAGAGUGGAACUCCAUGUGUAGCGGUGAAAUGCGUAGAUAUAUGGAAGAACACCAGUGGCGAAAGCGGCUCUCUGGUCUGUAACUGACGCUGAGGUUCGAAAGCGUGGGUAGCAAACAGGAUUAGAUACCCUGGUAGUCCACGCCGUAAACGAUGAAUGCUAAGUGUUGGAGGGUUUCCGCCCUUCAGUGCUGCAGCUAACGCAAUAAGCAUUCCGCCUGGGGAGUACGACCGCAAGGUUGAAACUCAAAGGAAUUGACGGGGGCCCGCACAAGCGGUGGAGCAUGUGGUUUAAUUCGAAGCAACGCGAAGAACCUUACCAGGUCUUGACAUCUUUUGACAAUCUAGAGAUAGGACUUUCCCUUCGGGGACAAAAUGACAGGUGGUGCAUGGUUGUCGUCAGCUCGUGUCGUGAGAUGUUGGGUUAAGUCCCGCAACGAGCGCAACCCUUAUUGUUAGUUGCCAGCAUUAAGUUGGGCACUCUAGCAAGACUGCCGGUGACAAACCGGAGGAAGGUGGGGAUGACGUCAAAUCAUCAUGCCCCUUAUGAUCUGGGCUACACACGUGCUACAAUGGACGGUACAACGAGUCGCAAGACCGCGAGGUUUAGCAAAUCUCUUAAAGCCGUUCUCAGUUCGGAUUGUAGGCUGCAACUCGCCUACAUGAAGUCGGAAUCGCUAGUAAUCGCGGAUCAGCAUGCCGCGGUGAAUACGUUCCCGGGCCUUGUACACACCGCCCGUCACACCAUGAGAGUUUGUAACACCCAAAGCCGGUGGGGUAACCUUUUAGAGCCAGCCGUCUAAGGUGGGACAGAUGAUUAGGGUGAAGUCGUA